rnacentral:rRNA from 1 species
UACGUAGGGGGCUAGCGUUGUCCGGAAUCAUUGGGCGUAAAGCGCGUGUAGGCGGCCCGGUAAGUCCGCUGUGAAAGUCGGGGGGCUCAACCCUCGGAUGCCGGUGGAUACUGUCGGGCUUGAGUACGGAAGAGGCGAGUGGAAUUCCUGGUGUAGCGGUGAAAUGCGCAGAUAUCAGGAGGAACACCGAUUGCGAAGGCAGCUCGCUGGGACGUUACUGACGCUGGAGACGCGAAAGCGUGGGGGAGAAACAGG